UUCCCUACACGACGCUCUUCCGAUCUUUGGCAUCUGGAGCCGAAGAAGGACGUAGCAAUCUGCGAUAAGCCUCGGGGAGCUGAUAAGCGAGCUUUGAUCCGAGGAUGUCCGAAUGGGGAAACCCCGCUGGGAGCUUCGUGCUACCCAGUGACUCCCGCCUGAAUAUAUAGGGCGGGUAGAGGGAACGUGGGGAAGUGAAACAUCUCAGUACCCACAGGAAGAGAAAACAACAGUGAUUCCGGUAGUAGUGGCGAGCGAAACCGGAACAGGCCAAACCGAUCAUGUGUGAUAGCCGGCAGGCGUUGCAUGGUCGGGGUUGUGGGACUCUUACGGUUUUCUGCCGAAAACCACGUAGAUAGUUGUUGUAUAGACAAAUGGUCUUGAAAGGCCAGCCGCAGAGGGUGCCAGCCCCGUAGUUGAAAUGCAGCACUAAUGCGAAGAGGAUCCCAAGUAUCACGGGGCCCGAGAAAUCCCGUGUGAAUCUGCCAGGACCACCUGGUAAGCCUAAAUACUCCCAGAUGACCGAUAGCGGACAAGUACCGUGAGGGAAAGGUGAAAAGUACCCCGGGAGGGGAGUGAAAUAGAACCUGAAACCGUUUGCUUACAAUCCGUUGGAGCCUCCUUGUAGGGGUGACAGCGUGCCUUUUGAAGAAUGAGCCUGCGAGUUAGCGAUAUGUGGCGAGGUUAACCCGUGAGGGGUAGCCGUAGCGAAAGCGAGUCUGAAUAGGGCGAUUCAGUCGCAUGUCCUAGACCCGAAGCGAAGUGAUCUAUCCAUGGCCAGGUUGAAGCGACGGUAAGACGUCGUGGAGGACCGAACCCACUUGGGUUGAAAACCGAGGGGAUGAGCUGUGGAUAGGGGUGAAAGGCCAAUCAAACUUCGUGAUAGCUGGUUCUCUCCGAAAUGCAUUUAGGUGCAGCGUUGCGUGUUUCUUGCCGGAGGUAGAGCUACUGGAUGGCCGAUGGGCCCUAAAAGGUUACUGACGUCAGCCAAACUCCGAAUGCCGGUAAGUAAGAGCGCAGCAGUGAGACGGUGGGGGAUAAGCUUCAUCGUCGAGAGGGAAACAACCCAGACUACCGACUAAGGUCCCAAAGCGUGUGCUAAGUGGAAAAGGAUGUGGAGUUGCAUAGACAACCAGGAGGUUGGCUUAGAAGCAGCCACCCUUGAAAGAGUGCGUAAUAGCUCACUGGUCAAGUGAUUCCGCGCCGACAAUGUAACGGGGCUCAAGCACACCACCGAAGUCGUAGCAUUCAAACUAUAGGUAGGCCUUCGUGGUCCAGCCGUGUGAAUGGGUAGGAGAGCGUCGUGUGGCGAGCGAAGCGGCGGAGUGAUCCAGCCGUGGACGCCACACGAGUGAGAAUGCAGGCAUGAGUAGCGAAAGACGGGUGAGAAACCCGUCCUCCGGAAGACCAAGGGUUCCAGGGCCAGGCUAAUCCGCCCUGGGUAAGUCGGGACCUAAGACGAGGCCGACAGGCGUAGUCGAUGGACAACGGGUUGAUAUUCCCGUACCCGCGAAGAACCGCAAGAGCUAAACCAGUAAUGCUAAGAGUCCGAAUUCUCUUUCUGAUCCCUUCGGGGUGAGGAUUGAGAGCUAGCACUCGACCCUAUGCUGGCGCGGCUAGCGUAUUAACAGGUGUGACGCAGGAAGGUAGCUGAGCCGGGCGAUGGUUGUCCCGGUGUAAGGAUGUAGGGCGAGGAAUAGGCAAAUCCGUUCCUCACGAAGCCUGAGAUCCGACGCGUACCCCUCACGGGGGAAAUCAGUGAUCCUAUGCUGCCAAGAAAAGCAUCGACGCGAGGUUCUAGUGGCCCGUACCCCAAACCGACUCAGGUGGUCAGGUAGAGAAUACUAAGGAGAUCGAGAGAAUCGUGGUUAAGGAACUCGGCAAAAUGCCCCCGUAACUUCGGGAGAAGGGGGGCCGGAUUGGUGAAGGGAUUUACUCCUGGAGCUAUGAAGGCCGCAGAGACCAGUGGGAAGCGACUGUUUACUAAAAACACAGGUCCGUGCUAAGUCGCAAGACGAUGUAUACGGACUGACGCCUGCCCGGUGCUGGAAGGUUAAGAGGAGCGGUUAGCACUUGUGCAAAGCUGCGAAUUUAAGCCCCAGUAAACGGCGGUGGUAACUAUAACCAUCCUAAGGUAGCGAAAUUCCUUGUCGGGUAAGUUCCGACCUGCACGAAUGGAGUAACGAUGGCCACACUGUCUCCUCUAGAGACUCAGCGAAGUUGAAAUGGUUGUGAAGAUGCAAUCUACCCGCGGUUAGACGGAAAGACCCCAUGCACCUUUACUAUAGCUUUACACUGGACUUGGAUAUCAUCUGUGUAGGAUAGGUGGGAGACGUUGAAGCAGGAUCGCUAGAUCUUGUGGAGUCACCCUUGAAAUACCACCCUGAUGUUGUUGAGGUUCUAACCCAGGUCCCUUAUCGGGAUCGGGAACCGUGUAUGGUGGGUAGUUUGACUGGGGCGGUCUCCUCCCAAAGAGUAACGGAGGAGUGCGAAGGUAACCUAGGCACGGUCGGAAAUCGUGCUGUUAGUGCAAUGGCAUAAGGUUGCUUGACUGCGAGACGGACAGGUCGAGCAGGUACGAAAGUAGGUCAUAGUGAUCCGGUGGUUCUGAAUGGAAGGGCCAUCGCUCAACGGAUAAAAGGUACUCCGGGGAUAACAGGCUGAUA
rnacentral:rRNA from 1 species